rfam:Stegodyphus mimosarum contig114523, whole genome shotgun sequence.
GCUUUCGUGGUGUAAUGGUCAGCACACUGAGCUGGUAAUUCAGAGGUCCGUGGUUCGAUCCCCGGCGAAGGCA